GGCUGGUUAGCUCAGAUGGUUAUAGCGUGGUGCUAAUAACACCAGGGUCAUGGGUUCAACCCCCAUACUUGCCA